rnacentral:rRNA from 1 species
AUUGAACGCUGGCGGCAGGCCUAACACAUGCAAGUCGAGCGGAUGAAGGGAGCUUGCUCCUGGAUUCAGCGGCGGACGGGUGAGUAAUGCCUAGGAAUCUGCCUGGUAGUGGGGGAUAACGUCCGGAAACGGGCGCUAAUACCGCAUACGUCCUGUGGGAGAAAGUGGGGGAUCUUCGGACCUCACGCUAUCAGAUGAGCCUAGGUCGGAUUAGCUAGGUGGUGGGGUAAAGGCCUACAAAGGCGACGAUCCGUAACUGGUCUGAGAGGAUGAUCAGUCACACUGGAACUGAGACACGGUCCAGACUCCUACGGGAGGCAGCAGUGGGGAAUAUUGGACGAUGGGCGAAAGCCUGAUCCAGCCAUGCCGCGUGUGUGAAGAAGGUCUUCGGAUUGUAAAGCACUUUAAGUUGGGAGGAAGGGCAGUAAGUUAAUACCUUGCUGUUUUGACGUUACCAACAGAAUAAGCACCGGCUAACUUCGUG